rnacentral:lncRNA from 1 species
GACAACAGCUAGCCUCCCGCCCGCCCUCCUCUCGCAGCCGCAGCCCGCCUUCAAAGCGGACCAAGGCCCGCGGACGGCGCAGCCAAUAGGCUUUCUGGGGUUUGCUCUCUAGCUAAUGGGAAGACUAUCUUUUUACGCCCUUGGCCAGUAAGAGAGCAGAUGGUGGCCUCAGCGACCUAUGGCAAAGUCCUUUCCCACCCCCUAACGGAGGCUCUGGGAGAGAGAGGAUGCAGGACCAAGACCCGAGAAGAAGCCUGCGUCUGGGCCUGGGUGGGACGGAUUCAGGCGCGCAGCAACAACAGGGUGCCUGGCACAAGGAGAUACUCAGUAAAACUCUCAUCUGCUGUGUCAUUAAGGGGAACACUUAAUGGCUCACGCCUGUAAUCCCAGCACUUUGGGAGGCCGAGGCGGAAGGAUCACCUGAGCCCAGGAGUUGGAGACCAGCCUGGGCAACAGAUUGAGACCCUGUCUCAACAAAGAAGAAGAAGAAGAAAAAGGCCAGGCGCCGUGGCUAAUGUCUGUAAUCCCAGCACUUUGGGAGGCCAAGAAGGGAGAACUGCUUGAGGCCAGGAGUUCGAGACCAGCCUGGUCAACAUAGCGAGACACCCCCCCCAUCUCAAAAAUAAAUAAAUCAAAAUAAAAAAUAAAGAGGA